rnacentral:rRNA from 1 species
GAUGAACGCUAGCGGCAGGCCUAAUACAUGCAAGUCGAACGGUAAGGCCCUUUCGGGGGUACACGAGUGGCGGACGGGUGCGUAACGCGUAUGCAACAUGCCUUCCAGCGGGGGAUAUACCAGGGAAACUUGGCGCAAUACCCCAUAGAAUUACGGGACCGCAUGGUCUUGUGAUUAAAAACUCCGGUGCUGGGAGAUUGGCAUGCGUGACAUUAGCUAGUUGGCGGGGUAACGGCCCACCAAGGCGACGAUGUCUAGCUGGUCUGAGAGGAUGAUCAGCCACACUGGGACUGAGACACGGCCCAGACUCCUACGGGAGGCAGCAGUAGGGAAUAUUGGACAAUGGGGGCAACCCUGAUCCAGCCAUGCCGCGUGUGUGAAGAAGGCCUCGG